AACAAUUGUCUACUUGUCACAUAAAAAGGUAGAACACAAUGGCUAAAACUCUCAAGGUUGUUUAAACUGUGAUUCUUUUAGUGUUUCUAUUUCUUCUUUUAAUCGCCGCUAGUGGAAGAAUUAAGUGAGGACAAGAAAUCAAUGGAGCUUGUGGAAUAGAGUUUCCCCCCUCUGCCGUCAGCGCCACUGCUCCUCGUGUCUCUCUAUGCUUCUCCAUCUCAUUUCACAUUUGCAGCGGCCCACUACCAACGCCAUCUCUUGGUCUUGGUACUCAUACUAUCUCAAUCCCAUACUAUCUCAAUCCGCUUCUUAGAUUUUUCAAGUUCUUACUCUUUUCCUCUUCUACUAUUUGUUAAUUUUGAAUUAUUUUUAGUUUAAAAUUGUGAAGUAGUAGUAGCGUGUGAAUUGUAUUUAUGACUUUGUUAAUUGUGAACGAUUUUAGUGUGAGAAUUAAAAUUGUAAACUUUAGCGUGUAAAUUAUGAUGAUUAGUGUAGUAUGGGUUUGAGAUUGUGAAUUUGUGAAUUGGUUUACUUUGUGAAUGUGAAUUGUAACCUUGUAAACUGUGAACUCUUUGUCUGAA